UGGCUAUCAUGGAAAUCUCCAAAAUUUCUGUUCUAGGUUCGAAUCCUAGCGCCCCCG
rnacentral:tRNA from 1 species